UUACCCCGGGGGUAACAGAGUUGUCACGAGUGAGAGUUCAUAUCGACCUCGUGGCUUGCUUCCUCGAUGUCGGCUCUUCCUAUCCUGGGAGCGCACAUAUGGAGAAUCUGCCAGAUUUUCUGGUGCAGAACUCCCAAGGGUGGGGCUGUACGCCCAUUAAAAGGGAACGUGAGCUGGGUUUAGACCGUCGUGAGACAGGUCGGAUUCUAUCUACUGGGCUUGUUGGGGGACUGAGGGCAAGGGAAAAUCAGUACGAGAGGAACAUUUUGCCGGCGCCUCUGGUGUAUCGGUUGUCUGACAAGGCAUUGCCGAGCAGCUACGCGCCAACGGAUAAGCGCUGAAAGCAUCUAAGCGCGAAGCCGGUCCCGAAAAUAGUCUCCCACUCCA
rnacentral:rRNA from 1 species